CGGACAGAUGGGAGCUUGCUCCCUGAUGUUAGCGGCGGACGGCUUUUUAACACGUGGGUAACCUGCCUGUAAGACUGGGAUAACUCCGGGAAACCGGGGCUAAUACCGGAUGGUUGUUUGAACCGCAUGGUUCAGACAUAAAAGGUGGCUUCGGCUACCACUUACAGAUGGACCCGCGGCGCAUUAGCUAGUUGGUGAGGUAACGGCUCACCAAGGCGACGAUGCGUAGCCGACCUGAGAGGGUGAUCGGCCACACUGGGACUGAGACACGGCCCAGACUCCUACGGGAGGCAGCAGUAGGGAAUCUUCCGCAAUGGACGAAAGUCUGACGGAGCAACGCCGCGUGAGUGAUGAAGGUUUUCGGAUCGUAAAGCUCUGUUGUUAGGGAAGAACAAGUGCCGUUCAAAUAGGGCGGCACCUUGACGGUACCUAACCAGAAAGCCACGGCUAACUACGUGCCAGCAGCCGCGGUAAUACGUAGGUGGCAAGCGUUGUCCGGAAUUAUUGGGCGUAAAGGGCUCGCAGGCGGUUUCUUAAGUCUGAUGUGAAAGCCCCCGGCUCAACCGGGGAGGGUCAUUGGAAACUGGGGAACUUGAGUGCAGAAGAGGAGAGUGGAAUUCCACGUGUAGCGGUGAAAUGCGUAGAGAUGUGGAGGAACACCAGUGGCGAAGGCGACUCUCUGGUCUGUAACUGACGCUGAGGAGCGAAAGCGUGGGGAGCGAACAGGAUUAGAUACCCUGGUAGUCCACGCCGUAAACGAUGAG
rnacentral:rRNA from 1 species